rnacentral:rRNA from 1 species
UACAGAGGGUGCGAGCGUUGUUCGGAUUUACUGGGCGUAAAGGGCGCGUAGGCGGCAAUUCAAGUCAUCUGUGAAAUCUCCGGGCUUAACCCGGAACGGUCAGAUGAUACUGCUUUGCUAGAGUGCGGAAGGGGCAAUCGGAAUUCUUGGUGUAGCGGUGAAAUGCGUAGAUAUCAAGAGGAACACCUGAGGUGAAGACGGGUUGCUGGGCCGACACUGACGCUGAUAGCGCGAAAGCCAGGGGAGCAAACGGG